AGCUUGCUUCAUUGAUGGCGACCGGCGCACGGGUGAGUAACACGUAUCCCACCUUCCGCUGACUCUUGGAUAUCCUUUCUAAAGAAAGAUUAAUACCCGAUAGCAAAGGAUUUCCGCAUGGAUAUCCUUUUAAAGGAUUCCGGUCAGCGAUGGGGAUGCGUUCCAUUAGAUAGUUGGCGGGGUAACGGCCCACCAAGUCGACGAUGGAUAGGGGUUCUGAGAGGAAGGUCCCCCACAUUGGAACUGAGACACGGUCCAAACUCCUACGGGAGGCAGCAGUGAGGAAUAUUGGUCAAUGGGCGAGAGCCUGAACCAGCCAAGUAGCGUGAAGGAAGACUGCCCUAUGGGUUGUAAACUUCUUUUAUACGGGAAUAAAGUCAUCCACGUGUGGGUGUUUGUAUGUACCGUAUGAAUAAGGAUCGGCUAACUCCGUGCCAGCAGCCGCGGUAAUACGGAGGAUCCGAGCGUUAUCCGGAUUUAUUGGGUUUAAAGGGAGCGUAGGCGGGCUUUUAAGUCAGUUGUGAAAGUUUGCGGCUCAACCGUAAAAUUGCAGUUGAUACUGGAAGCCUUGAGUACAGUAGAGGCAGGCGGAAUUCGUGGUGUAGCGGUGAAAUGCUUAGAUAUCACGAAGAACUCCGAUUGCGAAGGCAGCUUGCUGGACUGUAACUGACGCUGAUGCUCGAAAGUGUGGGUAUCAAACAGGAUUAGAUACCCUGGUAGUCCACACAGUAAACGAUGGACACUCGCUGUUGGCGAUAUACGGUCAGCGGCUUAGCGAAAGCGUUAAGUGUCCCACCUGGGGAGUACGCCGGCAACGGUGAAACUCAAAGGAAUUGACGGGGGCCCGCACAAGCGGAGGAACAUGUGGUUUAAUU
rnacentral:rRNA from 1 species